GAUGAAGAACGUAGCAAAAUGCGAUAAGUAAUGUGAAUUGCAGAAUUCAGUGAAUCAUCGAAUCUUUGAACGCACAUUGCGCCCGCUGGUAUUCCGGCGGGCAUGCCUGUUCGAGCGUCAUUUCAACCCUCAAGCCCCCGGGUUUGGUGUUGGGGAUCGGCUCUGCCCUUCUGGGCGGUGCCGCCCCCGAAAUACAUUGGCGGUCUCGCUGCAGCCUCCAUUGCGUAGUAGCUAACACCUCGCAACUGGAACGCGGCGCGGCCAUGCCGUAAAAUCCCAACUUCUGAAUGUUGACCUCGGAUCAGGUAGGAAUACCCGCUGAACUUAAGCAUAUCAAUAAGCGGAGGA
rnacentral:misc_RNA from 1 species